UGUGACUGCGUACCUUUUGUAUAAUGGGUCAGCGACUUAUAUUCUGUAGCAAGGUUAACCGAAUAGGGGAGCCGAAGGGAAACCGAGUCUUAACUGGGCGUUAAGUUGCAGGGUAUAGACCCGAAACCCGGUGAUCUAGCCAUGGGCAGGUUGAAGGUUGGGUAACACUAACUGGAGGACCGAACCGACUAAUGUUGAAAAAUUAGCGGAUGACUUGUGGCUGGGGGUGAAAGGCCAAUCAAACCGGGAGAUAGCUGGUUCUCCCCGAAAGCUAUUUAGGUAGCGCCUCGUGAAUUCAUCUCCGGGGGUAGAGCACUGUUUCGGCAAGGGGGUCAUCCCGACUUACCAACCCGAUGCAAACUGCGAAUACCGGAGAAUGUUAUCACGGGAGACACACGGCGGGUGCUAACGUCCGUCGUGAAGAGGGAAACAACCCAGACCGCCAGCUAAGGUCCCAAAGUCAUGGUUAAGUGGGAAACGAUGUGGGAAGGCCCAGACAGCCAGGAUGUUGGCUUAGAAGCAGCCAUCAUUUAAAGAAAGCGUAAUAGCUCACUGGUCGAGUCGGCCUGCGCGGAAGAUGUAACGGGGCUAAACCAUGCACCGAAGCUGCGGCAGCGACACUGUGUGUUGUUGGGUAGGGGAGCGU
rnacentral:rRNA from 1 species